GGAUGUGGCCUAUCUUCCUCACUGCUCCACGUGUGAACCCCCUGAAACUGCACACUGGUUUGAAGAUGAUGAACAGCCCUGAUAGAGGAGGACCAUUUCCUUGGUCAAGGGUAUAUAAGUAGCACUUCUCUCCUAAAGCCUCCAAACAAAAAAGCUGGGCAAGAUGGCUCAUGACUGUAAUCUCAGCACUUUGGAAG
rnacentral:snRNA from 1 species